rnacentral:rRNA from 1 species
CGUUCCCGGGUCUUGUACACACCGCCCGUCACACCACGAAAGUCGGCAACACCCGAAGCCGGUGGCCCAACCCGCAAGGGAGGGAGUCGUCGAAGGUGGGGCUGGCGAUUGGGGUG